UUUGAAUAGGACCCUUGGAAUGAGUUAAUGUUCAAGCACGUAUAGUAAUUGGCAUGCAAUGGCAACAGGUACAUAAUCUUUUGAAAGUGACAUGAAAUAUUUCAUUGCAGUUUUGGAUUCGUGAGAUCACUUAGUAGUAAAGUCCCAUUUUUGUUCACAUAGACAUGCCGAAAUGAAAAUGAAAAAACAACACAUUUAAAAAUGUCCACAUAAAACUGCUGUAAGGGGAAAAUUUUCCGUGCCGCAGAUUUCACUUCGGAUGAGCCUUUCUGUGCUCCAGCCAGCUCCACUCGACCCAGUCCAGUUUGUCGUUCGCGUCUUCCUGCAUUGCAAGUAUCUCCCUAUUACGCCUCAGUGACAGGAAGCUCAACGUCCAGAAGUACAUAUCAGUUUUCUUGUGCAG
rnacentral:lncRNA from 1 species